AACGAACGCUGGCGGCAGGCUUAACACAUGCAAGUCGAACGCCCCGCAAGGGGAGUGGCAGACGGGUGAGUAACACGUGGGGAUCUGCCCAAUGGUACGGAAUAAUUCCGGGAAACUGGGACUAAUACCGUAUGUGCCCGCAAGGGGAAAGAUUUAUCGCCAUUGGAUGAACCCGCGUCGGAUUAGCUAGUUGGUGUGGUAAAGGCGCACCAAGGCGACGAUCCGUAGCUGGUCUGAGAGGAUGAUCAGCCACACUGGGACUGAGACACGGCCCAGACUCCUACGGGAGGCAGCAGUGGGGAAUAUUGGACAAUGGGCGCAAGCCUGAUCCAGCCAUGCCGCGUGAGUGAUGAAGGCCUUAGGGUUGUAAAGCUCUUUCGCCGACGAAGAUAAUGACGGUAGUCGGAGAAGAAGCCCCGGCUAACUUCGUGCCAGCAGCCGCCGCCGUAA
rnacentral:rRNA from 1 species